GCAAGAAGUGUCUCAAAAAUAAAUAAAUAAAUAAAUAAAUAAAUAAAUAAAUAAAUAAAUAAAAAUUAAAGGACUUAAAAAAAAAGAAACAUUAAAAAAAGAAGGAAAUGAAAAGGCAUAACAAAAAACUAACACAAAAAUUGAGUUAAAAAAAAACUUAAUGCCAAAACCAAGAAGAGGUCGGAAAGGUAUCUGGAAGAACAAUUCUCAGCUCCUUCAUUCCCCAGAUGAUGCCAGUAAGUAGGAGAUGGCAUACUGUUAACUAAUGAAAGAAAUUCUCCUGGUGAAGUCCUAUUUCGCCUUUAUCCUUAGAAUUAUGCAACCUACAGACUUAGCAAUCUUAAAAGAAAAAAAAUAGAUGGGGAAAAUAAUUGACUUGAAUUAUAUUUAUUUUAAAAAGACUGUUUCUAGUUGUUUUGAAUGAAUCCAGAACCCAUAAAUUAUAUCCCAGAAUACUGAAAGAAUCUGAUGAAAUAACACGACCUUCGACAGUAAAUCUGAGUCAAGAUGAUUUGGUUGAGGUAGAUACAGACAGAUAGAAGCUUCACAAGCACAAGAAUACUGUUCCCUGGCCUAUCCACAGCUUUGAGCAUACUGCCUGGCAUGUAUUAAUGGCUUGAUAAGUGUCCCUGACAAAAUUCCAAAAUCUAUUUUUUUGAAGUUUGUGGACAGGUAGAAAAGAAAGCAAUGGCCACUAGGAGGCAGCAUCGAUUUAUGAAGACUAAGCACGUCUCAUGGUUUCCCACUAUACAGAGGAAUGAAGAUCACAUCAAAGCAUCUGACCAAAUCUCACAUCAAUAAUCCCUAUAAACAGGAUGGAGCAUAAGUACUAGAUAUCUCACAAUUAAAUGAAUUUGUCGCUAGUUUAAUGGGAGCACUAUGCUAUUUAAUGGGUAUCAAUCUAAAUGGAGAUAGCUUUACCUUAUCAACAUUUUUUUCAGUAUUACAUGUAGACAGAAAGGAAUUUUUAUCAAAUUUGCCCAUGACUUAAAACUGAGAUUCACAGCCCAAGUUUUUUUAAACCCAAAAUAAGUAAAAUUUAAUUUAAUAAAAUUAAAUCUAUAUGAGGUAAUGACUAUACAAGUACAGAAUGGAGAGGUUCCUCUUUACAUGUGAAAGACCUUUGAGUUUACACUUUCAAACUCCUUGAGUCAAGAAUAUUCGCUGACAUAGAAACAAAUUUUAUUGUACAUUUCUUAAUACUGUAAACUUACACGUACUUCCCACAUAACCUCAAUUCCUCAUCUAUUCUCUUGUAGAGAUAUGGUAGUCAGUGGGACAGACGCUUAAAAAGCUGACAAGACCUAUAUUUUUAACUUUUAUACAUUGGCCUUUGACUACCUGGAAUAGUAUUAAAUAGCUGUUUACGGUUAUGUCCUCAAAAUCAUACCAAAUGUUUAAAAUGCAGUCUAAUGCUACUUUUUACAACCCAAGAAGAUAGCUGUUAUUAUCCUUAUCUUGAAUAAGAUCCUGUGUUUGAAAUCAAUUCUGUGGGGUUAGAGACUCAUCAGGGAAAGAAAACACAUAUAUCCUGUAUUACUGUUACUUGAAUGCCUGAU
rnacentral:lncRNA from 10 species